GCCUUUGGGAGAAAAGGCAUCGGAUGUCAGGGCACAGGCGCGUCAGCACCUCCCCCCCGCGGCUGACCCUGGAGGAGGCCAUAUCUGCACAGUCCUUGAAGAACACACCUCCCUAAUCCAACAGAGACUGGAACCCGUGGCUCUGAAGCCUGCUUGUCCAGUGCCUGGUCCCCAGGGACUCCUUCUAGCCUCCUGGCCUCCUGAUCUUAGUGUCUCUCCAUCCUAAGCCUCAGAGUCCUUCAGCUAUGCUGUGUGCAGGCUGUGGGCAUGUUCUCCCGAAGGCCUCAGGAAAUCCUCGGGAAGCAAUUCCCAGGCCUCCAGUUCCUGCAUUACUUCCCAGGUUCAACGCUCCACCUCUACACGAUGACUCCCCCCACAAGCCUCAGGAUCACAUCAAGGCCAGAGAGGAUGACCAACCUGGCCCAAAUCACACAGCGAUGCAGCUUGGUCAUCCAGGCUCUACUCUGCCACGCUGCUUCUAGACCCAGAGGACCUUCAGUGUUUUCAGGUUACAGUUUUCCAUUAGUGGUCAUCGAUCCCGACCUCUUUCUGUAACGGAUGGAGAAAGGUCACUUUUCAGAAGGAGAAACCCAAGACCCAAGUGUGAAUUGGUGCAGAGGAAAAGAGACCUGCCCAGCAUCACCCGGUAUAGCUCAGAGUUCCAAACGAAUCACUUCUUGUCAUCUUGCAGCCCCUGGAGUACCAGGAAAGGAUUAUUUCUCCACCUUAUAGACGAUGAAAUGGAAGUCCGGAGAAGUGAAAUGAGCUUCCUGAGCUCACACAGCAAUGGCAGAACCGGGGCGGAAUCAGGCCUCCUGAGUUACAUGGUGAAACAGACACGGCCAAUCUGACCCCAAUGGAAGACCCACACCGCAGUGCAGACUGGGCCUCCCAUCCUGCCUCCUUCCUCUGUUAUCCCUUUCCCUGCCUCUCAUGCAGUCACUCAACAGGUAUUUUCGAGUACCUGCUCAUGUUCCAUUUCCAGCUUCUUGCCCUCCCUUCCCUACUAGGGUCUGCCAAGGACCCUCCAAAACCUGGCUGGAUCUCUGGCUCCCCCUACCUAGUCCACCCUCAUUUCCUCAGACCACUAGACGUCUCUAGUCACAGACUCCUGGCUCUUAGAUGCCCGAGGACAUCAUUUUAAAGGGCUUUAGUGGGGCGCCUGGGUGGCUCAGUCAGUCGAGCGUCCAACUCUUGAUUUCAGCCCAGGUCAUGAUCUCGCGGUUCGUGGACUCCGGCCCCACAUGUGUCAUCACGGAGCC